rnacentral:lncRNA from 10 species
GAGCAUUUUAUUUCAUUAUGGCAAUUGGUGAAAUAGGGCAGAGGUGGUGUUCCAAGUCAUCAUUCACCUAUCCACCCACCCACCCAUCCAACAAUCUAUCCACCUAUCUAUCAUCCAUCCACCCAUUUACUCAUCCACCCAUCCACCCAUCCAUCUACCCAUUCAUCCAUCCAUCCAUUCAUCCAGGGUUUUCUUCUAAUGGUGCUGAUAAUUCCUUUUAAGAGGCUAGAGAUUUUCACUUUACAAUCAGAAAAAAAACUAAUGCAAAA